GUGAGGAAUAUUGGUCAAUGGGCGGGAGCCUGAACCAGCCAAGUCGCGUGAAGGAAGAAGGAUCUAUGGUUCGUAAACUUCUUUUGUAGGGGAAUAAAGUGCAGGACGUGUCCUGUUUUGUAUGUACCCUGAGAAUAAGGAUCGGCUAACUCCGUGCCAGCAGCCGCGGUAAUACGGAGGAUCCGAGCGUUAUCCGGAUUUAUUGGGUUUAAAGGGUGCGUAGGUGGUUUGAUAAGUCAGCGGUGAAAGUUUGCAGCUUAACUGUAAAAAUGCCGUUGAAACUGUCGGACUUGAGUGUAAAUGAGGUAGGCGGAAUGCGUGGUGUAGCGGUGAAAUGCAUAGAUAUCACGCAGAACUCCGAUUGCGAAGGCAGCUUACUAAGCUACAACUGACACUGAAGCACGAAAGCGUGGGGAUCAAACAGGAUUAGAUACCCGUGUAGUCC
rnacentral:rRNA from 1 species